GUCCCGCAACGAGCGCAACCCUUGCCAUUAGUUGCUACGAAAGGGCACUCUAAUGGGAACUGCCGGUGACAAACCGGAGGAAGGUGGGGAUGACGUCAAGUCCUCAUGGCCCUUAUAGGUGGGGCUACACACGUCAUACAAUGGCCGGUACAGAGGGUAGCCAACCCGCGAGGGGGAGCCAAUACCCACAAAGCCGGUCGUAGUCCGGAUCGCAGUCUGCAACUCGACUGCGUGAAGUCGGAAUCGCUAGUAAUCGCGGAUCAGCAUGUCGCGGUGAAUACGUUCCCGGGUCUU
rnacentral:rRNA from 1 species